GAUGAACGCUAGCGGCAGGCUUAACACAUGCAAGUCGUGGGGCAGCGCGGACUUCGGUCUGGCGGCGACCGGCAAACGGGUGCGGAACACGUACGCAACCUCCCUCAGAGCGGGGAAUAGCCUCUCGAAAGAGAGAUUAAUACCCCAUAGUAUCUUGAAGACACAUGUCUAUGAGAUUAAAGCUUCGGCACUUUGAGAUGGGCGUGCGGCUGAUUAGGUAGUUGGUAGGUAACGGCUACCAAGCCGACGAUCAGUAGCUGAUGUGAGAGCAUGAUCAGCCACACGGGCACUGAGACACGGGCCCGAUCCUACGGGAGGCAGCAGUGAGGAAUAUUGG
rnacentral:rRNA from 1 species